AGAGUUUGAUCCUGGCUCAGAUUGAACGCUGGCGGCGUGCUUAACACAUGCAAGUCGAACGUGAAAGUCCUUCGGGGCGAGUAAAGUGGCGCACGGGUGAGUAACGCGUGGAUAAUCUACCCUUAAGAUGGGGAUAACGGCUGGAAACGGUCGCUAAUACCGAAUACGCUCCCGAUUUUAUCAUUGGGGGGAAAGAUGGCCUCUGCUUGCAAGCUAUCGCUUAAGGAUGAGUCCGCGUCCCAUUAGCUAGUUGGCGGGGUAACGGCCCACCAAGGCAACGAUGGGUAGCCGGUCUGAGAGGAUGACCGGCCACACUGGAACUGGAACACGGUCCAGACUCCUACGGGAGGCAGCAGUGGGGAAUAUUGCGCAAUGGGCGAAAGCCUGACGCAGCGACGCCGCGUGAGGGAUGAAGGUUCUCGGAUCGUAAACCUCUGUCAGGGGGGAAGAAACCCCCUCGUGUGAAUAAUGCGAGGGCUUGACGGUACCCCCAAAGGAAGCACCGGCUAACUCCGUGCCAGCAGCCGCGGUAAUACGGAGGGUGCAAGCGUUAAUCGGAAUCACUGGGCGUAAAGCGCACGUAGGCGGCUUGGUAAGUCAGGGGUGAAAUCCCACAGCCCAACUGUGGAACUGCCUUUGAUACUGCCAGGCUUGAGUACCGGAGAGGGUGGCGGAAUUCCAGGUGUAGGAGUGAAAUCCGUAGAUAUCUGGAGGAACACCGGUGGCGAAGGCGGCCACCUGGACGGUAACUGACGCUGAGGUGCGAAAGCGUGGGUAGCAAACAGGAUUAGAUACCCUGGUAGUCCACGCUGUAAACGAUGGGUGCUGGGUGCUGGGAUGUAUGUCUCGGUGCCGUAGCUAACGCGAUAAGCACCCCGCCUGGGGAGUACGGUCGCAAGGCUGAAACUCAAGAAAUUGACGGGGGCCCGCACAAGCGGUGGAGUAUGGUGGUUUAAUUCGAUGCAACGCGAAGAUCUUUACCCAGGCUUGACAUCUAGGGAACCCUUCGGGAAAUGAAGGG
rnacentral:rRNA from 1 species